AUUGAACGCUGGCGGCAGGCCUAACACAUGCAAGUCGAGCGGAUGAAGGGAGCUUGCUCCUGGAUUCAGCGGCGGACGGGUGAGUAAUGCCUAGGAAUCUGCCUGGUAGUGGGGGAUAACGUCCGGAUACGGGCGCUAAUACCGCAUACGUCCUGAGGGAGAAAGUGGGGGAUCUUCGGACCUCACGCUAUCAGAUGAGCCUAGGUCGCAUUAGCUAGUUGGUGGGGUAAAGGCCUACCAAGGCGACGAUCCGUAACUGGUCUGAGAGGAUGAUCAGUCACACUGGAACUGAGACACGGUCCAGACUCCUACGGGAGGCAGCAGUGGGGAAUAUUAGACAAUGGGCGAAAGCCUGAUCCAGCCAUGCCGCGUGUGUGAAGAAGGUCUUCGGAUUGUAAAGCACUUUAAGUUGGGAGGAAGGGCAGUAAGUUAAUACCUUGCUGUUUUGACGUUACCAACAGAGUAAGCACCGGCUAACUUCGUG
rnacentral:rRNA from 1 species